UCAGGACGAACGCUGGCGGCGUGCCUAAUACAUGCAAGUCGAGCGGACCGACGGGAGCUUGCUCCCUUAGGUCAGCGGCGGACGGGUGAGUAACACGUGGGUAACCUGCCUGUAAGACUGGGAUAACUCCGGGAAACCGGGGCUAAUACCGGAUGCUUGUUUGAACCGCAUGGUUCAAACAUAAAAGGUGGCUUUUUGCUACCACUUACAGAUGGACCCGCGGCGCAUUAGCUAGUUGGUGGGGUAACGGCUCACCAAGGCGACGAUGCGUAGCCGACCUGAGAGGGUGAUCGGCCACACUGGGACUGAGACACGGCCCAGACUCCUACGGGAGGCAGCAGUAGGGAAUCUUCCGCAAUGGACGAAAGUCUGACGGAGCAACGCCGCCGUGAGUGAUGAAGGUUUUCGGAUCGUAAAACUCUGUUGUUAGGGAAGAACAAGUACCGUUCGAACAGGGCGGUACCUUGACGGUACCUAACCAGAAAGCCACGGCUAACUACGUGCCAGCAGCCGC
rnacentral:rRNA from 1 species